rnacentral:lncRNA from 1 species
CAGUGACAAAACAGAGUCUCCAUUCAGGACCCCCAUCAUACUGUCCUUGUAGACCCUCUCCCUGACCCGGUGCUGGACUUUCAGGAUCAGCUGGCUGUGUUUUGUGUUUGCAGGUCUGUGGUUCUGGGUCUUCCUGUGUUUCUCAGUCCGGACACAUGUUGCUCAUCAGCUCAGACUCUCAGUCUGUUUAUGUCCAAAGCACUGAUGCUAACUUCCCCCCAGACCCUCCUCCUCCUCCUCCUCCUCCUCCUCCUCCUCCUCCUCCUCCCCCCCUCAUGAUGAAGAGGAUGUUUAAAGCAGAGACACUCAGGCAUUCAGCCUGAAACCACCCACACUCCGCUUAGGUCGGACCUCCGACCUCCACCUUCAUCCUGAUGGUCUCCUAAAAGGUCGUAUCCUCCGAUCGUAGCUGAUCGUAACCAUUCAAGUUAACGUGUCAAUUUACACCGACUUCUUUCCGUUCCUCUGCGGAUCGCCGGACUCCUCAGCUGAUCACAAGAGUUCUAUUUUUUCUGGACGCCGGAGCAUGGCGGAUAAAUUCAGCACAGAUUAACCCGUGCUGGAAAGGAAGUCGGGCACAGACACAAAAUAAAACAUCCGGCUUCUUUUCAAAAUAAAACACUCCGUGUUUCAGGAGGAUCGUAUUUCACACCAUGCAAACGGGCGGAGACGAACAAGUGAAAGGUUUUUAGACGUCAUUUCACCCCGAUGACACCAUGGAUGAGGAGAUGCUGAUUCUAGAAGUCUAGAAGUAGAUUUCCUCCUCUGGAAGGACACAAUCUACUGCUUAUAUGUCUAUGUGUCUGUCUUUAGAGAGACGACUCUUCAUC